CUGAAAUAUUUUUCAAAGACGCCAUUUUCUUUGCUCGCGAUGCGAAGUGCAUAUGGAAUUAAAACAGCGAAAUAAAGUGUUUAGUCUUACUUACAAAAUAUGUUUUGUAAUAUCAUAUGGUUUUAUAACGAUAUUUAUGUGCUGUAUGCGCCUAAACGUUUCUCAGAGACAUUUCCUUUCACUCGCAACGCGGAACAGACGAGGGCUUUUUUUCGAAACGGGAAAAUCCGAAAAGCGAUAUUUCAUUUCACCAGCGAAGCGAAGUAGACAGGGAAGUUGGUUUUAACAAGGAAAACACCGACAGUAACAGUUAAGUGUUUUACCUCAUUUACUUAUUUUAUAAGAUAAUAUUACUAUAUGACGAUAUUUAAUUGCUGCACACCUGAACAAGCCUAACGUUAACGGUUUCUCACAGAUUUGAAUUGCUCUGCAGUGCGCAGAUGCGGAGUUCACUAGGAAACACCAGAAGUAAGUUAACCGUUUUAAAUCUUACCUCAUUUAAAAUGUGUUUUAUAACGUCAUAUUAUUUAUAGUGAUAUCUGUCUGCUGUAAGUUACACUCCUAAACUUUUUCUCAAAGAUAUUUUCUUUCACUCGCGAUGCUCUGGAGGAGAUGGGGAAGUUGGUUUUAACAAAGAAAACACCAAAAGUAAGUGUUUUAUUUAUUUUACGAUGUGUAUUUUAUAAAAUAAUAUCACUUUAUGACGAUAGUUAUAUGCUGUGCGUGCCAAAACAAUCCGUAACAUUUUCACAGAUGAAAUCUGAAUUUGAAGGGAAACGCCAGAAGUGUUUUUUAACGUUAACUUAACUUACCUCAUUUAUAAUACAGUAACUUAUUUAUUUUGCAACGUCAUAAUGUCUAAUCAAACCACUGUAAAACUGCUCAAAUAUAAAUGGCAAUAUAAGUAAAUUGUUCUUGUUUGUCUCAUGAACAAUUUUUGUGAUUUCAUUUCAUGAAAUGAGUUUUCAUGAUGUUGUGUCCUUAUAUUGGAUUUGAGUGCUGUUUUCCUUGAAUUAAUUUGAAAAUAACACUCUUCAGUAAACACAAACUCUCUAUACUGAGUGAGUUACAUUCUUCAUCAUUCAAAGUGAUUUUGUGUCCUCACAAGUCUUGGAGUAUGGCACAUGAGUUGCAGUUAACUACUUUGUUUAGACACUUUAUUAUGUUAUUAUUUUUAAGCAUUAUGUUUUGUAUUUAGCAAAAGGGAGUUGUAUGCGUUUGGAAUUACAAUUUUAAAUAAACUAUUUAUUUAAUAUUGUUACAGAUGGUUCAUGCUGGCUUAACAGAAAAAUCAAAAGGAGAUGAUUUGCUUGAAGAGUAUGAAGCCACCAAUAUAUGAUUGUCCAACCUCAACGCAGAGAGAUCAGUAUGCACUUGGAAUUGUGACUGUCUCUGUCGUUAGAAGACCCAUUUUCUAGGGAAGGUGUGUGAUGCUGCAAAUAGGAGUGGAUAUCUUGCUUGGCUGAAAACUGCUGAGAAACGCAUCUUGUCGUGCUGAAAAAAAAGAAGUCUAGAAGAGAGAAAAAGACUAUUCUCUCCAAGGAGGUCCAAACACAGACAUUGAUUAGUGAGCAUUAACAUGUAUUCUGCAUUUAUGGUAAUGAAUGGAAUGCUGUUGUUUAACCUGAUAAAUGUCAGCAUUAUAAAUCUUAUGACAUUAAGAGUACAUAUGGACCAAAUAAGAAUGUUUUUUGUGUCUUUGCACUGAUUUGCUUUGACAUUAUGAUGUUUAAUUGUUGUAAGGCCAUGCUCUUUACAUUGAAUUUUAGAAUUUUACAUUUAGAAUUUAUUUAUUUGUUUUAUUUUGAAUUGCUUUGAAUUGAAACAUUGAAAGUGAAGACAUUUUGGUGCAGGGAAAAAAAUUACAAUGUUUCAAUAAAAUAAAUAAAUGUAAAC
ensembl:lncRNA